CAGCCGGCCAGAGUCCUUCGACCCGAUGUACCUAACGCGCGGAACUAACCCAUCAGCUUGCCUUCUGCUCUGCAGGAGCUUCCUUGAUGGUGUGUGGAUCUGUCGUUCCCUUCUCCGAUUGAGCCUGCGAGCGGUGAUGCGGCAAACUAAUCUGCAUGCAUCGAGUUCCCACUUGCGUGAUGAUGCAGCAGCCAAAACAAGGACCCUGAGUCACGGACACGACGCCGACACACCCCUCCCCACCCCCGAUUCUCCCCUGCGAUCAAUGAUAGCGCCAGCAGCUUUAGCAGCAUCCACAAGAGGAAUUCCAGGUACAGGGAGGAAUUUUUCCCACCUUCUUUGAUCUCGCCAAUGAUUAAUUUAAUAACCAUUUUCAUUUUCUCAUCUGCGUGCAUGCAGAUUGGAACUUCAGUGUUGAUGGAUCUGAUUUAUUUCCUCUUUUUGUUUAGGAGCCUAAUCUUUGGAUUUGAGUAUCAGGCAAUGGCAUUUCCGUCCGGCAACCAAAAUUAAGAAUAGGAUUGCGUGGAGCAAUUGGUUUAACUCUAGCCAAAAAUAAAAAAAGAAGAAAAAGAGAAAACGGCAUUUUUUUUAUUUAAUUGUCAAUGAAGUUCUUAAAUAUGUGUCCUAUUUAUCACAUUUAUUUGCCUGGCACAUCAAUUCCAAAACCUGGUUGAUUGAUCCCGUGCAUAAAUUGCUUAAACCAUACUAUCCUAACUGUGCUGUAGCCAUUUAUACUAACCCUCUUACUCAUGAAUAUGAUCUUUUUAAUCUUUUCACUAGGGUGGACACUGGGCAGAGGUUGGUGGAUAGGAUGCCUAUCAAUCCCAAGAUAGCCGUGUUUGAGAGCACACAGGAGAGGUUUGAGGUUCCUCUCCGACCUGAUAUGUGGUCCUCGCAUGGAGUUCAUAUUUCAUGAAUUUGGUGCCUUAUUCUCCUGCAUCUCUUGAAUAUAAAAUAUGAGAUUUGAUCUAAACUAUGUCAUCAUCCUGCAUUUCUAGAUGUUGGCUAAUAGUUAACUUGGCUACCAUGGAGAGUUACUAUCUAAGCUAAAUCAUCUCAUUUUUAUAAAAACAAAUUAGUUAUCUUCAAUUUGCACAUUAGCAAAGAAGAUGGUGUUCGGUGCAUGUGUCAUUGUAUAAGCUAGCAUUUUUUUAAUGGUUGCACUCACGCCAUUUUUCUAUAUUUCUUUUCUCUCUCUAUCCUGUGUUUGGAUAACAAUUUGAGUCUUUGACCCUUUUCAGUCUUAAGGAUGAGUAGCAAUAAUUUUGCUUGGAUGGUUAUGCAGGUCUGGUCGUCUGGAUGAAUCCUCCACUUGCAGCUGCAGGAACAAUCUUAAUUGAAGUUCUACAUGACCUCAGAUGCAACUACAAAAAUUUAUGUACAAAUGUACUGAUUGCAGAACUACCUAUUGGAAACUUUGUACCUGUAAAGCAAUGUAAUCAAGGUGUUGCCGUGAAAUCUGAAAUUUCAAGUACAAUGUUGGAUACUUGACCAUAAAAGUUAAUCAUCAUGUGUUGAAGAAACAUUACGAUAUAA